CCCCAGCCCCUAGUCCCGGACCGCUAGGCUUCCCGCUCCGCAUCCCUGUUCCGCCCACCCUAGCAUACACUAACGGCGUCCGAACCGACCCAGGGGCCUGCUGCGCCCCCACCUUCGUCCCCAACGCUCCUCAGAGGUGGCUCCGGCCUCGCUAGCGACCCCCUCACCCCCAGGGAAGAAACACAUUCUGGUGCUUAGCGAGCUGCGCGCCGAGGACGCCGGUGAAGUCCGCUUCCAGGCGGGGCCCGCCCAGUCCCUGGCUCUACUGGAAGUGGAGGCAUUGCCUCUCCAGAUGUGCCGCCACCCCCCUCGCGAGAAGACCGUUCUGGUGGGCCGCCGGGCGGUGCUGGAGGUGACUGUGUCCCGCUCGGGGGGCCACGUGUGCUGGCUGCGGGAGGGGGCCGAGCUGUGCCCGGGAGAUAAGUAUGAGAUGCGCAGCCACGGCCCCACCCACAGCCUGGUCAUCCAUGACGUUCGACCUGAGGACCAAGGCACUUACUGCUGCCAGGCCGGCCAGGACAGCACCCACACACGGCUGCUGGUAGAGGGUAACUAGGAGGACCUAACCAGACCAGGCGGGUGCCCUUGGACAGCUUGGAAGGCGUUUGCCCUUACCGUGGGCAGGGGUAGAGAGACAAGGAACAAUAAAAGUGCUACAGCUC
rnacentral:sRNA from 1 species